rnacentral:rRNA from 1 species
UACGGGGGGAGCAAGCGUUGUUCGGAUUUACUGGGCGUAAAGGGCGCGUAGGCGGCCACGACAAGUCACUUGUGAAAUCUCCGGGCUUAACCCGGAACGGUCAAGUGAUACUGUCGGGCUAGAGUGCAGAAGGGGCAACUGGAAUUCUCGGUGUAGCGGUGAAAUGCGUAGAUAUCGAGAGGAACACCUGCGGCGAAGGCGGGUUGCUGGGCUGACACUGACGCUGAGGCGCGAAAGCGUGGGGAGCGAACAGG